rnacentral:tRNA from 3 species
GGCUCCAUCGUCUAACGGCUAGGACAUGGCCUUCUCAAGGCUAAAAUAGGGGUUCGAUUCCCCUUGGAGCUACAA